rnacentral:pre_miRNA from 1 species
GAUGUACUCCCUCCGUUCUGAAUUACUUGUCUUGGAUUUAUCUAGAUACGGAGGUAUCUAGCACUAAAAUGAGUCUAGAUACAUCCGUAUCUAGACAAAUCCAAGACAAGUAAUUCGGAACGGAGGGAGUAGUUU